GGGAGGGGGGGCAAGCGUUGUUCGGAAUUACUGGGCGUAAAGGGCGCGUAGGCGGGUAUGCCAUGUCAGGGCGUGAAAGGGCCUGGGCUCAACCCAGGAACUGCCUUUGAAACUGGCAAACUAGAGUCCGAUAGAGGAUGGCGGAAUUCCCAGUGUAGAGGUGAAAUUCGUAGAUAUUGGGAAGAACACCAGUGGCGAAGGCGGCCAUCUGGAUCGGCACUGACGCUGAGGCGCGAAAGCGUGGGGAGCAAACAGGAUUAGAUACCCUGGUAGUCCACGCCGUAAACGAUGUGUGCUAGACGUUGGGGGUCUUAGACCCUGGGUGUCGUAGCUAACGCGUUAAGCACACCGCCUGGGGAGUACGGCCGCAAGGUUA
rnacentral:rRNA from 1 species